UGCCUGCCACUCUUUACCUCCUGGACUCUGACCUUGUUAUGAUCUUUUGCCUGUCCACGACCAUUCUCAGGCCUGCCCCUUGGAUACAAUAAGUAUUACAGACUCGAACCAUCUGCCUCCCUUGUCUGCAUCUGGGUCUCGCCCUGUGCCCUUAUAAUUUACAAAGCAAAAGGUGUCAUGGCUCGAGAUUUCUUUGAGGAAGAAAUCAUCAAGAGACACGCUGGACCCUAUGUCAGAGAGGUGUUUCUGGGUACACAUUGUUUCUUUCAAGACAAUGACCCAAAACACACUGCCGCCCGUGUUUGCAUUGCAAAUGAGGCCAUAAACCGGGUCAUGACGCCAGCAGAGUAAGCAGACCUUUAUGUAGUAAAAUAAAGGUUAAAUAAUAACCUACAACACCUACGGUAGGCCUGCAGGAUAGCUGAAAAUAUUUUUUUACAUCUCUUCAUGUAGGUCUCUUGAUUUAAACCCGAUCAAAUUUGUUUGGCAUCAACUGAUAACAUUCAUCCGUAACUCUGCCAAGCAAAGAUUAACUGGUCAAGGCCAUCAAGAUGUUUUGAGAAAUUGACAAUACAACAAUGCAACAAAUACAUUGAUAAUCUCAGCAAGGUUUUACCUGUGGUCGUGGAGCUGGGUGGAUGUGCGACUAAAAUAUAUUUUAAAUUAACAUCCGCUGUUUGAGUUAGAAAUGUAACACUUCAGAGUACAUUGGAUGGAAGUUGAGGUAUUUUCACAAUAGUAGCCAGGUUAUAAAAGUCUAUAUUGUCCUGCUAAUAGGAAGCAUUUGCUUGAUGGGCUACACUUGCUACAGUACUACAGUACACUUGUGAAAAACAAGUGUUUGAAAACCUGUUUUCAAAAUGCCUCCAGUUGUCCAUCACUACUGUAAAUAAAACCACAGCAUCUUACAUUUCUUAUUGUAACCACAGUGUCACAAAUAAUUUGUAUCUACCUUUCCAAUUACUUUCAGAGUGUGAGAUUUACAUUGUUAGUUUUUAUUUCGAAAGUGCAGACUUUUUUUCUUUAAAUGAUUGUUUUAUGUAGAAUGCUACAUUUUUGACCAGAUGCAAUUGUAAGUAGACCUAAUAAAAAAAUCUUA